rnacentral:lncRNA from 13 species
AUUUGCUCUGACCCAUUUCAUAGACAGCUGUUUUCUAUUUACUUUCCAGGGAGAAAAGUGCUUGAUCAGCCAAGAAAAAUACAGCAAAUGUUUGCAAGAGAAUCUUGUGUGACAGCUUAGCAAACCAAUUGUAUUUUGACCCUCUUCUCUAUAUGCGGAAGGGUUCAAGUUCAAGUUCCUUCAGAACAUUAGCAUCCUCAUAGACAAUGGUGGCCAUUCUUAGAACAAUCUGCCUUUUACUUACUGCUCUUCAAUCAAGACUGUCAAUCAUUGUUGGAACAAGACGGGUUGCAUAAGAAAAGAGAGAAAUCAAGCAAAAGACAACAAAAGUGAAGAACAGAUUUAAGAGUCUGCCUUCUGCCAAUUCACGAAGCCAAGGCAAGAGCUGAUAUUCUGCCAGGGUG